UGGGGAAUAUUGCACAAUGGGCGCAAGCCUGAUGCAGCCAUGCCGCGUGUGUGAAGAAGGCCUUCGGGUUGUAAAGUACUUUCAGUCGGGAGGAAGGUGUCAAGGUUAAUAACCUUGGCAAUUGACGUUACCGACAGAAGAAGCACCGGCUAACUCCGUGCCAGCAGCCGCGGUAAUACGGAGGGUGCAAGCGUUAAUCGGAAUUACUGGGCGUAAAGCGCACGCAGGCGGUUGAUUGAGUCAGAUGUGAAAUCCCCGGGCUUAACCCGGGAAUUGCAUCUGAUACUGGUCAGCUAGAGUCUUGUAGAGGGGGGUAGAAUUCCAUGUGUAGCGGUGAAAUGCGUAGAGAUGUGGAGGAAUACCGGUGGCGAGGGCGGCCCCCUGGACAAAGACUGACGCUCAGGUGCGAAAGCGUGGGGAGCAAACAGG
rnacentral:rRNA from 1 species